UACGUAGGUGGCAAGCGUUAUCCGGAAUUAUUGGGCGUAAAGAGCGCGCAGGUGGUUGAUUAAGUCUGAUGUGAAAGCCCACGGCUUAACCGUGGAGGGUCAUUGGAAACUGGUCGACUUGAGUGCAGAAGAGGGAAGUGGAAUUCCAUGUGUAGCGGUGAAAUGCGUAGAGAUAUGGAGGAACACCAGUGGCGAAGGCGGCUUCCUGGUCUGUAACUGACACUGAGGCGCAAAAGCGUGGGGAGCAAACAGGAUUAGAUACCCCCGGUA
rnacentral:rRNA from 1 species